rnacentral:rRNA from 1 species
GACAGAGGGUGCAAACGUUGUUCGGAAUUACUGGGCGUAAAGCGUGUGUAGGCGGCUUCGCAAGUCGGAUGUGAAAGCCCCGGGCUCAACCCGGGAAGUGCACUCGAUACUGCGGAGCUUGAGUGUGGGAGAGGUUGGUGGAAUUCUCGGUGUAGAGGUGAAAUUCGUAGAUAUCGAGAGGAACACCGGCGGCGAAGGCGGCCAACUGGACCACUACUGACGCUGAGACACGAAAGCGUGGGGAGCAAACAGG